CUGGGGCUGAGGGGACCGAUAUUGACGCAGAAUCCCUUCACAAUUACGGUGGGGGCGGCAGGUAAGGUGGUCACCUACCAAAGGAUUUAGGCCAGGGGAGCCUCUACUGGGAUGCAGGAACUUUGGGGUCCAAUCCUCAAACACACUGAGCAACCUGCCUCCCCCUUACUGGUUUUGGGGUAGGAGAUAGACAGGCCCUUAGGCCAGACAGCUGGUGUUUGUCAGUGGAGUAAAACUGAAGUUUCUCACCCAGACUCGCCAAGGACAAAGCUAUUGUCAGUAAAUGAGCUCUGCUGGAAUAAAGAGUUCACAAAGCCUGGAGUCGAGAACAGAGACUACCCUGACUUGGCAAAGGAAGCAGGGCCAAGGAGUCUAAGCUUAAGUAUCAGUUGUUUAAGGGAAAUUCUGGUUUCGAGAGAUCAAAUUGCCAACACUCAAUGGAUCACAGAGAAAAAAGGGAAUUCCAGAAAAACAUCUACUUCUGCAUCACUGACUACAUGAAAGCCUUUGACUGUGUGAAUCACAACAAACUGU